rnacentral:rRNA from 1 species
GACGAACGCUGGCGGCGUGCUUAACACAUGCAAGUCGAAUGAUGAACCCGGAGCUUGCUCCGGCGGAUUAGUGGCGAACGGGUGAGUAACACGUGAGUAACCUGCCCUUGACUCUGGGAUAACUGCUAGAAAUGGUAGCUAAUACCGGAUACGACCCUCGGUGGCAUCACCAGGGGGUGGAAAGAAUUUCGGUCAAGGAUGGACUCGCGGCCUAUCAGCUAGUUGGUGAGGUACCGGCUUACCAAGGCGACGACCGGUAGCCGGCCUGAGAGGGUGACCGGCAACACUGGGACUGAGACACGGCUCAGACUGCUCCGGGAGGCAGCAGUGGGGAAUAUUGCACAAUGGGCGCAGGCCUGAUGCAGCGACGCCGCGUGAGGGAUGACGGCCUUCGGGUUGUAAACCUCUUUUAGUAGGGAAGAAGCGAAAGUGACGGUACCUGCAGAAAAAGCACCGGCUAACUACGUGCCAGCCGCCGUAAAAC